CCCCCGCAGGGAGUAAAUCGCGGGGGUGAACCCCCCCCCCCCAUCUGAGUGCUCUCCCCCCAAAAAAAAUAAUUAAAAACCACGCUAAGUAUGGUAAAUAAAUGAUAUAUACUUAAAAUAAUUGUGUAAUAGUAAAGCAAUAUAAACGCAAAUGGAAACAUUUUAGUCACCCCUCCCUUGCCUCACAGUGGUUUGGUCCAUCGCGCAUGUCACACUUGUGUGUACUAGUCCGGCGGCGCCGGUGGGAGAGAACAGUUGUUCAGACAGUAGUUGAGAGGAAUUCUAGUUCACCGUAGUCAACCGGAUCCGGGCCGUAUCCAGGUGAGACCAAGGACCUGCACCUUGACACGACCACAACGCAGCCCUGAAGUAUCAGCAGAGAUUGAGUCAACUAGAUCAUCCCCUGUGAAGGCCUCAUCGACACAACAGCCACGACACAGUUCCUCAACAACCGUCCAUACCGGCGUGAUGAAUACGAUCCUCAAUUGGAUGGAACUGAAAUAAAUACUUUUAAUGUUGCGAUCCUAUUGGACUUAUGAUAGCAACCUGAAUUGUAACAAAGCACUGUUGGCCAGAGGAGAACUGGCACCCCGACUAAGCCUGGUUUCUCCCAAGGUUUUUUUCUCCAUUUUAACACCAAUUUGCCACUUGUCUGCCACCUGAUGUCACCUGAUGGAGUUUGGGUUCCUUGCCGCUGUCGCCUCUGGCUUGCUUAGUUGGGGACACUUGACUUGACAUUUGAUAUUCAACAGUGCUUUGAUCUGCCUGCAUUGACACUAUUCUUUAAGAGCUGCUGUGCAGCCAAACAAUGUACCAGUUAUCAAUGUAAAGCUGCUUUGACACAAUGUACAUUGUAAAAAGCGCUAUAUAAAUAAAGGUGACUUGACUUGACUUGA